UUCAAAUCGAGGAUCAAGAAGAGUAGUGAUAAUGAUUUGGUUCAGGGAGCCGCCGGAAGUGGGAGUGCGGUGCAAUAGUUGUCAUGAAUGGACUUGUGAGAUGCGGUCUGAACCGUUUGGUGUAGGAGCCGCCGGGGGUCUCCCGUUAUAGGGAAUAAUGGUGUUGGCCAUGAGUUGGACUUUUAGUCAAUAAGGGUGGUACCGCGGAAUUAAUUCCUUUCGUCCCUUCG
rnacentral:ncRNA from 1 species